rnacentral:rRNA from 1 species
CCUACGGGCGGCAGCAGUGAGGAAUAUUGGUCAAUGGGCGAGAGCCUGAACCAGCCAAGUCGCGUGAGGGAGUACUGCCCUAUGGGUUGUAAACCUCUUUUGUCGGGGAGCAAAAGCCGGACGUGUCCGGCUGUGAGAGUACCCGAAGAAAAAGCAUCGGCUAACUCCGUGCCAGCAGCCGCGGUAAUACGGAGGAUGCGAGCGUUAUCCGGAUUUAUUGGGGUUAAAGGGUGCGCAGGCGGAUUUUUAAGUCAGCGGUCAAAUCGUGGGGCUCAACCCCAUCCAGCCGUUGAAACUGGGGAUCUAGAGUGUGCGAGAGGUAUGCGGAAUGCGUGGUGUAGCGGUGAAAUGCAUAGAUAUCACGCAGAACCCCGAUUGCGAAGGCAGCAUACCGGUGCACAAUUGACGCUCAGGCACGAAAGCGUGGGUAUCGAACAGGAUUAGAUACCCCUGUAGUC